rnacentral:rRNA from 1 species
CGGUGGAUGCCCUGGCAGUCAGAGGCGAUGAAGGACGUGCUAAUCUGCGAUAAGCGUCGGUGAGGUGAUAUGAACCGUUAUAACCGGCGAUUUCCGAAUGGGGAAACCCAGUGUGUUUCGACACACUAUCAUUAACUGAAUCCAUAGGUUAAUGAGGCGAACCGGGGGAACUGAAACAUCUAAGUACCCCGAGGAAAAGAAAUCAACCGAGAUUCCCCCAGUAGCGGCGAGCGAACGGGGAGGAGCCCAGAGCCUGAAUCAGUGUGUGUGUUAGUGGAAGCGUCUGGAAAGGCGCGCGAUACAGGGUGACAGCCCCGUACACAAAAAUGCACAUAUUGUGAGCUCGAUGAGUAGGGCGGGACACGUGGUAUCCUGUCUGAAUAUGGGGGGACCAUCCUCCAAGGCUAAAUACUCCUGACUGACCGAUAGUGAACCAGUACCGUGAGGGAAAGGCGAAAAGAACCCCGGCGAGGGGAGUGAAAAAGAACCUGAAACCGUGUACGUACAAGCAGUGGGAGCCUCUUAAUGGGGUGACUGCGUACCUUUUGUAUAAUGGGUCAGCGACUUAUAUUCUGUAGCAAGGUUAACCGAAUAGGGGAGCCGAAGGGAAACCGAGUCUUAACUGGGCGUUAAGUUGCAGGGUAUAGACCCGAAACCCGGUGAUCUAGCCAUGGGCAGGUUGAAGGUUGGGUAACACUAACUGGAGGACCGAACCGACUAAUGUUGAAAAAUUAGCGGAUGACUUGUGGCUGGGGGUGAAAGGCCAAUCAAACCGGGAGAUAGCUGGUUCUCCCCGAAAGCUAUUUAGGUAGCGCCUCGUGAAUUCAUCUCCGGGGGUAGAGCACUGUUUCGGCAAGGGGGUCAUCCCGACUUACCAACCCGAUGCAAACUGCGAAUACCGGAGAAUGUUAUCACGGGAGACACACGGCGGGUGCUAACGUCCGUCGUGAAGAGGGAAACAACCCAGACCGCCAGCUAAGGUCCCAAAGUCAUGGUUAAGUGGGAAACGAUGUGGGAAGGCCCAGACAGCCAGGAUGUUGGCUUAGAAGCAGCCAUCAUUUAAAGAAAGCGUAAUAGCUCACUGGUCGAGUCGGCCUGCGCGGAAGAUGUAACGGGGCUAAACCAUG